UAUAAUUCCAACCGUGCUGCAUUCAUAUC
rnacentral:piRNA from 1 species